UGAGACAUGUCGUUUUUUACAGUGGAGCCACCUGGGAACUGAGAGGUCCCUCUGGCUUAGAUAGAGGUGGGCAGCCCUCUGCCACUUGGUCUUGGGGUCCACUCUCACACUCAGUUUCUGAAUCUGUGGAAGAGGUUAGCAGAAAGUCCCUUCUGACAACCAGAGUCACCUGAGAGGAGGAAGCUGCCUUGGCCAGCUCUGUAGACGCCUUAGCGCAGCCAAGUUCCUACUUCCUGAAGGCUUCACAUGGCCACUGAACUCCACUCUAGACAGAUUCUUCUUUCUCAUUUGGCAGUGGAGGGUCUCCUUCUGCUGCCUGCAGGUCAAGAUGUAGAACUCUCAGCUACCUCUCCAACACCAUGUCUGCCUGCAUGCUGCCUUGCUUCCCGCCAUAAAGGUGGAGUGUGCAGGUGUCCCUUGUCAUUGGCAUUGCUUCAGAUCUGAACUUAAAGUCAGGAUCCCUGCCUCUCAACUAUCUGACCUGCUGAAGUGACAAUGGCCUGCAAUCCCAGCAUUGUGGAGGUGGAAUCAGAGGGAACAAAAAGUCAAGGUUAUCCUCGGCUACAUUGUGAGUUCAAGGCCAGCCUGUGUGACAGGGGGCCCUUUCCCAACUGAACAAAGCAAAACCCCCACAAGUUUGAAGGAAAAAAAAUUAAAGGAAGGGGGCGGGGCUCAAGUGUGGAGUCCAUGCCUCUCAGCAAAAGUAGCUUCUGGGCGCCCAUAAUCCACGCUGCAGUCCCCGCACGCAGG